GAUUGGGGCUCAGCGGAAGAGCGCUUGCCUCGCAUGGGCAAGACCCUGAGUUCAAUCCUCAGCACCACAUA
rnacentral:tRNA from 1 species